rnacentral:rRNA from 1 species
ACUCAAAGGAAUUGACGGGGGCCCGCACAAGCAGUGGAGCAUGUGGUUUAAUUCGACGCAACGCGCAGAACCUUACCCGGGCUAGAAAAGUACGGAAUCCUAUAGAAAUACUGGAGUGCUCGCAAGAGAGCCGUAAUCCAGGUGCUGCAUGGCUGUCGUCAGCUCGUGUCGUGAGAUGUUGGGUUAAGUCCCGCAACGAGCGCAACCCUUGUCUGUAGUUGCCAUCAUUUAGUUGGGCUACUCUACAGAGACUGCCGGUGACAAGCCGGAGGAAGGUGGGGAUGACGUCAAGUCCUCAUGGCCCUUACGUCCGGGGCUACACACGUGCUACAAUGGUAUAUACAGAACGUUGCCAACUCGCAAGAGGGAGCUAAUCGGCUAAAGUAUACCUCAGUACGGAUUGGGGUCUGCAACUCGACCCCAUGAAGCUGGAAUUGCUAGUAAUCGCUAAUCAGCAGGUAGCGGUGAAUACGUUCCCGGGCCUUGUACACACCGCCCGU